rnacentral:tRNA from 1 species
AGUGAUGUAGCUCAGUGGCAAAGUGCCUGCCUCCCAGGCACAAGGCCCUGGGUUCGAUUCCCAGUGUAACAG